rnacentral:lncRNA from 1 species
CCCUCCCCCGAACCCUAGCACCCCCAGGACCUUUUCCCUUCUCCGCCUCGAGUUGCUUCUUCCUCUUCCUCGCAUGGCCGCCUCUGCCGCGGCCAUUGCCUCGCUGCCCCCGUAGCCACCGAGCUCACCACGCCCAGCCACCUCGUCUACGAGCUUCGCCGACGUCCACUCCUUCGACUACGUCCACCAGUUGGAGCCGGUAGCCCCUGGAUCGCAGGGAUCGAUGUCGUCUUCAACCUCCAGCCACCGCGACAUCAUCGACGAAUUCAUCGCCGUCGCUCCACAACCCGACCUUCCCGAGCUCACCUACGACAUCGCGGUGAGGUCCUCACCCGAUUCCCGCUCUUCCCUGCUCGAUCCAUGCCAGUAGCCGUCGUUCACCACAGUACUCCGGUCGCUGUUGUUCCUCGUCGCCUCUUGCUCCGGCCACCUCCACUGCUGCGCUACUGUUGCUACUGUCGUGUAUGCCCGUUCGCUGCUACAGCCUGCGCUCCCCUGCGCAUGCCUGCCCCGCGCCCUCACCCCAACGGCCGCGCGCCCCGCCGGCGCUGUCCGCGGCCUCGCUCCCCUGCUGCCCGCUGUUGUGUUGCUGCUGUUACUACUUGUUCUGCUGCUGUUGGCGCUACUGUCUCCUGCUGUCCGCUCCUGCCUGCAGCCGACCCUGCGCCAGCCUGCCAUGCCCAGGUGCGCCCCGCUUUCUUGCCUUCCUCUCCCCGGCGUUGUGCCUACCUUAGCCAACGCCAUGGCCAGGCCUUGGCCGCCGCACAUAUGCGUGCGUGCGUUCGUUCCCAGCCGUGAGAGGCCGGCUGGCUCACAGCCUAUGGGAUAGCCCAUUUAGUUUAGGACUAAUUGCUUAUUAGCUAUAGGUCAAUUAGUGUUAGAUCAGUAGUGGGCCAUUGAUAUGUCGGCCCUGGGAUAAUUAAACUAUUUUUUCUAACUAAAAAAUAAUAAUAACUCAAUGACAGCUGGGACCCACAAUUAUUGUUCACCUUUGACUAGUCAAUGUUGACCGGGCUGACUUAGCGGUUACUGGGGCCCACUGGCCCCACCUGUCAUCCACUGUGGCUAGUCCAAACCUAGGUACACAUAAUAAUUUUAGCUAUUUAAAUUCGAAUUAAAUUAAUUCUAGAAAAUUAGAAAAUCUUUUAAAAACUUUAAAAAUUAAUAUAAAAUAAACCGUAGCUCACAUGGAAAAGCUUUGUAGAUGAUAGUUGCUCAGAACGACAAGACGAAUCCAGAUACGCAACCUGUUCGUCUGCCACGCAUUCCUAGCAUAGUGAACCCGCAACAUUUCACCUCCGGUUCAUCUGUCCGAAAACGCGAAACACUGGGGAUACUUUCCCGGAUGUUUCUCCCUUUCGCCGGUACCACCUACUAACGCGUUAGGGCACACCUAAGUAUCGCUCAUUGUCAUGUCAUCCAUCGUCAUGCUUAUGUUUGCAUUGUAUUUAUUGUUUCUUCCCCUCUUAUCUCUGGUAGACUACGAGACCGACGAUGUUGCUGCCCAGUUCGACUACGGAGUUGAUGACCCCUCCUCCUUGCCAGAGCAACCAGGCAAGCCCCCCCUUGAUCACCAGAUAUCACCUAUUCUUCUCUCUACUGCUUGCAUUAGAGUAGUAUAGCAUGUUACUGUUUCGAUUGAUCCUAUUCGGAUGCAUAGCCUGUCAUUGUUGCUACAGUUGUUGAUACCUUACCCGCAAUCCUAAAUGCUUAGUAUAGGAUGCUAGCUUAUCAUCAUUGGCCCUACAUUCUUAUCAGUCUGCCUUGCUAUACUAUCGGGCUGUGAUCACUCAGGAGGUGAUCAUGGGUAUAUGCAAUACAUACCUACAUAUUAUACAGAUGGUGACUAAAGUCGUGUUGGCUCGUUGAGUACCCGGAAGUGAUUCCGAUGUGGGGGCUGAAAGGACAGGUGGCUCCAUCCCGGUAGAGGUGGGCCUGGGUUCCCGACGGCCCCCGACUGUUACUAUGUGGCGGAGUGAUAGGGCAGGUUGAGACCACCUAGGAGAGAGGUGGGCCUGGCCCUAGUCGGCGUCCGCGGUUACUUCAAAAUAACACGCUUAACGAAUCUUGGUAUUUGAUCUGAGUCUGGCCACUGGCCUAUACGCACUAACCAACUACGCAGGAAAGAUAUGGGCACUCGACGUCGUGGUAUCAGCCGAAGCCUUCGUGACGUCAGCGACUGAGCGGCGCGCGCCGGAUUGGAACGUAAGCCUGCUCUUGUAUUAAGGGGGCUAGUUCUGCUUCUGUCCGCCCUUGCAACAUGCAGGUGUGCAAUGGGCGAUGGGCCCAGACCCCUACGCCAUAGGAUUUAGACCGGCGUGAUGACCUCUCUGUUGUGCCAAGGUAGGGCUACGACGUAUUGAUCUUCCGAGGCCGGGCAUGACCCCGAAAAGUAUGUCCGGCCAAAUGGGAUCGAGCGUGUUGGGUUAUGUGGUGCACCCCUGCAGGGAAGUUUAUCUAUUCGAAUAGCCGUGUCCCUCGGUAAAAGGACGACCCGGAGUUGUACCUUGACCUUAUGACAACUAGAACCGGAUACUUAAUAAAACACACCCAGACAAGUUGCACAGACAACCCGGUGAUCGCUUUUCCAUAGUGCGACGAGGGGAGGAUCGCCGGGUAGGAUUAUGCUAUGUGAUGCUACUUGGAGGACUUCAAUCUACUCUCUUCUACAUGCUGCAAGAUGGAGGCUGCCAGAAGUGUAGUAUUCGAUAGGACUAGCUAUCCCCCUAUUAUUCUGGCAUUCUGUAGUUCAGUCCGCCGAUAUUGCCUCUUUAUACAUAUACCCAUGCAUAUGUAGUGUAGAUCCUUGCUUGCGAGUACUUUGGAUGAGUACUCACGGUUGCUUUUCUCCCUGUUCCCCCCCCCUUUCCAUUCUACUUGGUUGUCGCAACCAUACGUUGGAGCCCAGGAUCCAGACGCUACCGUCGACGACGACUACUACACUAGAGGAGCCUACUACUACGUGGAGGCCGCUGACGACGACCAGGAGUAGUUAGGAGGAUCCCAGGCAGGAGGCCUGCGCCUCUUUCAAUCUGUAUCCCAGUUUGUGCUAGCCAUCUUAUGGCAACUUGUUUAACUUAUGUCUGUACUCAGAUAUUGUUGCUUCCGCUGACUCGUUUAUGUCGAGCACUUGUAUUCGAGCCCUCGAGGCCCCUGGCUUGUAAUAUGAUGCUUGUAUGACUUAUUUUACUUUUAGAGUUGUGUUGUGAUAUCUUCCCGUGAGUCCCUGAUCUUGAUCGUACAUGUUUGCAUGCAUGAUUAGUGUACGAUUAAAUCGGGGGCGUCACAAGUUGGUAUCAGAGCCGACUGCCUGUAGGAAUCCCCCUUCCAAACUCCUUGGCCGAAGUUGAGUCUAGUAAUUGCAAAACUUUUACUAACAUAGCUGUGUGUCUUACGGACACACGUUGCCAUUGGGUGGUAUUAGGAUCUUUUAUUCCUUGACCUAUACUCUGGGACUCUAAUCUUUCCUGUAUUCGGGUUAAAUGAUUUUGCUAAUAACACUAACUUUAGGUUCUCGAAAAUACUUUCUCCCGGAGAGCCCCUCACUUCAGAUGAUCGUUUGUUGCACCAGAAGAUUCCAAAGAUACUCUUCGAGGUUUUUCCGAGACCCUUGUGCCCAUCGACUUUACAAUCCCCUACCACUGAUAUACCCUUAUGGAUAACUACCUACAAUUGUCGUUCAUACCUUCAUCCUCAGUUGCUCUUGUUAUUACAAGAUGCGUUGCAGUUCUUUAUCACAUGAAUACCCCUAUUGAAAAUUCCUCGCACUUAUUGAGUAUCCGUUCAUCCCCAGUUGAUCGUAUGCUUCAUAAGAUACUCUGAAAUACUAUCCGACCUUCUGAGCAUCCUCUUCAAACUAUUUCUCUGCAAAUACUUGUAUGCUUACGUUAUGGAUGCUCCCAUAUCACUAGCAAUAUUCACUAGUAUCUUUUGACACUGUCAUUUUGAUCCUGUUGAUUCAACAUGUGUGCGAAUGCACACAAUCAUCAAUCGACCCUUCUAAAUUAUCUUUCCGGCUUAGACGUCAUUCUGAACAUGAGCUGGUUCUGGACCAAACUAUUUGUCGUCAAUUGUGCCUCUGGUCUAUCCAACUUAUCCAUCCUUGAUCAGAGCGUCUGCUUCUGAUCCCUUGUUUUUGGAAAUCAUAAUUCCUUCGUUAUCUAAGCAUCAAAUUAUUUAGAUGUUCUAUAAUCUGAUGCCCAUGCAUUCUUUCUUCCUCUGAUUGAGUACCGAUACUCACAUCAGCUCCGUUGUGGAUCGCCCGAUCCAUUGUUGGAUUUCAUCCGACAUCGUCCUUCAUAUUCAAUAACCUUGUGAGCCUUUCCACGGGUAUAUAAUGCCUUUGGUAAAUUGUAUCCUCUGCUUGGCCAACCAUGCUCUGCUUUCGAGCUUGUGUAUUUACUUUUGAAACUUCUGGUAUAUGUUACUAAGAUGCCUGAUGGGUUGAACCUAUGCCUUCCCCUAAUCCGUGAGAAUCCGAAAGUUUUCACAAGUCAUACUCUUCUGGUGUUCUACCAGAUAAAAUUCCAACACUACAGUUAUAUCAGGGCGAGAGGUGAAUGAAAUGAUAUGCAUUAAAGAAGUGGGAGUCGACCUUGAACUUUGUGUUCAUGCCCAUGAAAAUGAUGUAGACCAUCUCGGAAGCUUCUUGCAAAAUGAUUAUCCAGUUGUAUGAUUCUUUCGGUAUUCUUGAAUUGAUUCCUUACAGUUAUGGUUCCGACCAUGUUGUCCUGAUCUGAUAUAUCUGAUGGGAAUUCAUUCCAGUGCCUCGUCUAUUUUUGGCGAGGCUAAAGUAUCUACUCUCACAGGUCAAUGACCCGGUUCUAUUUCUAUCAUGUUCUACCUUCGAGUAUUACCCCCUGGUAUCUCGAAGAUAUCUUGCCAUUGCACCACAUCUUACUAACUUUGUUGAAGUAAUGUCUUUCCUUGUCGUAAUCACUCUACGGGUUCUGGGUUGUUGUCAACCAAGGACACCGACUAGUGAAAUUAUUCUACACUACAAAUCAAAUACCCCUAGUAUUUUUACUAGGAAAUUUUGAACUCAAUUUGGUCAUUCCUAGACUAUCGGCUGCAUCCUGGUCUUGCUAUCUUUGACUGUGCUAGCUCAUCCUUCUCUGGUGCAUGAAUUCUUCAGUGUGUGAGCACGACUUACGUCGAGCUUUCAACAUCAUGUUGCUUGUCUUGAAAGGCAACUUUGUUUCCGAGCUUGCAUCUUAUAGAUUGAUCCUAUAACUUGCCACUUCGUCAUUUCCUUGCUUGUUGUCAUUGUUGUUUGAUUGCAUCCUCUUGAAACCUCUCGGCAAAUGUGUAGGAUCACCUUCAACACUUUGACUUCUUCCGAGAUGUCAACUGUGUUCAUGAUGAGAAAUACCCUCCUUGCCCAUGAUGAUUUUUAUCAUCAUCGACAACUCCCUUGACUUCCUUUCAUCGCGAACUUGUUCACAUUAUGAAUACAACUUGCUCUCCAGCUAGUGUUGUGUUCUGCCUUGAAGUAUUACUGUCUUUUCUGUCAAGAAUGUUGUGGGGAUUGCUCCACCUCUUAGUAAUUCUUGAUAUGAUGAUACUUCUCAACAUCACCAUUCUUCGUUGGUCCCCGUGUUGUUUUUAACCAGGAUACCAAUAUGCUAAUGUUGUUGUUUGAGUUCUGUACUUCUAGCAACCCUAUUGCUUUGAAGUUAACGAUCAACAGUUCGUUCUUAGACUGUUGAUUAUUGAAUCGUCACUCUAACAUUGAUCUUGCUGCCUAAGGUCAUACUUCGGGCACACCUUUCAACUAAUGAUUGAUGGCGUAUGAUUUCCUCGAGUAUACAUCAUUAUAUCAUUUGAUCUGACUAAUGAUAUCUUCUUGUUCACAUAAUUUUGGAAACCCAUCUUUUGGAAGUCUCCAUAAAUUGUCAGUGAGUUCAUCAGCCACCUCCUCAUUCUCUCCUUGGUUUAAUGAUGAACUCUUGUCUCGGAACUCACUUCCAUAGUUCAUUUCUCGGGAACCUUACAUUGUCAUCUCGUUAAUUGGUGUCGCACCUUCUCUUCUCAGGCAUCCUAAGUCUGAGGUAUCCUGACACCAAUCAGAUAUGAAUCUCGAUCGGAUAUGAUGGUUGGAACAUAUUUUCAGGAGUUAUGAUGUUGGUCCUUUGAUGAACCGGUAAUAUGAUGUCAUGCCUAGCACCCCUGGCUGGAGGACCUAUAUUUAUAAUUUAUUUUGCAAGGAUAACCAUUCUUCCUGGAGGAAAUUGUAGAACUUAUAUUUAUAAGUUGCUCCCGAUGGAUCAUUUGUGUAUCCAAAGUCCGGCCCUUGAUUGGAACACCAUAUCAUUGCUACCUCGAAGCAUGACUAUGAUACGCCGAUCAUCAACAAGAAAAUUGGAGGCGCGAUGCUAAAUGUUUCUUGGUCAGUUAUCCAAACACCGUUGUAUGGGUAACAUAUUGAUUAAUCCUUGCCUCUUCAUCUGAAUGGUUGGGUAAUUGCUCUCCUACCAUGUAUGCCAUGUUCUGCUUGUCCAUGGGAAGGAUAUACUCCUAAUAAUUGUGUGUAAUCACAAUUUUCCUUUCCAUUGUUCUGUUUGAUCUGAUAAUCAUGUUUUCCUUUCCAUUAUUUUGUUUAACCUUUCAUGUAAUCUGUCUUAACUGAGCAGAGAUAAUUCCCUGCUUAGGUAAGCACCUUGUUGUAUCACUCUGUCGGUAAGACCCUGUUUUUAUUGUUGAUGACAUUCCGGUAACAACCGAUGGGUGAGAACUUUGCCAAUUGUUCGCCUUGUUCAAUGUGCAGGAAAAUGGUUCUCUUCAUUCCCCGACGUUGGUACCGACAUUGUUGCCGACAUAGCUGACAAGCUAUCCACUGACAUGCCUCCCUGUCGCGGCUGUGCAAGAUGUCACCACCCUUCCUACUUUCAACCCACAUGGUGGGCCCAUAACCCACAGGUCCCAGGAUCGAAACCUGACUCUUCUUUACAACCGGUAUUCUAAUGUAUCCUUUGCACCUGGCUUCGUAUGUGAUUCUUGAGCUAAAUUCUAUACCAUUAUUCAUCCUGGAAUCAAACACCAUGUUUUUCUCGUUGUUCAAACCCCCAUUCCAGCUUCUGUCUAGUCAUUGAAUGAUUGCCUACCGGUUUGAAACUUUGGUACCAUCGUAUAUUGCACUCAGCGAAUUCACUGAAAUACAACUCGUGGGAUACCUCGUGUAUUUCCCAUUGAGUUCACAGUCAGAUGCCCAGCUUUGCGGAGAUGUGUUCUUCCGGAGUUUUUUUCCCUUGGCCGCGUUUGUAGGACGAUGGAGAUCCCAAAGAAAGGAUGACGACUUGAUCAUGGUGACUUCAAGCAGAGGAAUGAAGACAUCAACGAAAGGAAUCAACCUCUUCGAAAGGGCAUCCAAGACCGAGAAGACUCGUUAGGUUUUCGUUACCAGCACUUUUCCCCCCUUACUCCACCGCUUAAAUCUCGGGACGAGAUUUCUUGUAGUGGAGGAGAAUUGUGACGCCCGGGUAAUCAAGCUAAAGUAACCCUCUGGUAAUGAUGCCAUGUCACCUUAGUUACUGUUACUAAUGUUGCGUUAGUUCAAAACGAUUCUAAUUCAAAUUUGGAUUUUUAAUAAACAUCGAAGGUUUUCGAAUAACAAAACUAAAAUGUUCUUAAUGUGACAAAUAAAUCAUGGAUAAUAUUGGUGGAGAAACAACAUCUUUAUAAAAUAAUUAAAUACCCUAAAGUGAUUAAAACAUUAGUAAAAACAAUUCAUUAUACCCCUAUUAUGUUUUAUAAAAUACUUAACUAUGUUAUCUAGGUGCCAAACUUAUUGUGGCAGUGGUACAAAUUAAUGUUACUAUUUUAGGUGAUAUUUGAAUAUUUUACAAAACUAAGGAUUUGAGAAAUAAAAUUAAUAGAAAAAACGGAAAACAAAACUAAAGGGGAAAACAAAAGACCUAAGCUUCUAGACCUUUGGCCCAUCUAGCCGAAUGGCUGGCCCAGCCCACCCCAGACGCCUACCCCUUCCUCUGUUCACCAGAGGGGGAUCGUGGCAUCCAUCCAGGCCACCAUGGCCAUCGAUAGCGCCGUGGAGGCCAUCCAGUGGCUCCUCUCCGGAUAAGGAGCCCCCUCCCCCGAACCCUAGCACCCCCAGGACCUUUUCCCUUCUCCGCCUCGAGUUGCUUCUUCCUCUUCCUCGCAUGGCCGCCUCUGCCGCGGCCAUUGCCUCGCUGCCCCCGUAGCCACCGAGCUCCCUGCGGCCAGCCACCUCGUCUACGAGCAUCGCCGACUUCCACUCCUUUGACUACAUCCACCAGUUGGAGCCGGGAGCCCCUGGAUCGCAGGGAUCGAUGUCGUCUUCAACCUCCAGCCACCGCGACGUCAUCGACGAAUUCGUCGCCGUCGCUCCACCCCCGACCUUCCCGAGCUCGCCUACGACAUCGCGGUGAGGUCCUCACCCGAUUCCC